UUAUUUUUUGGACACUUUGCCAUCGCCGUCGCGUCGCCCGGAGCUGAACUGAGCUGAGCUGAGCCGAGACGAGAGAUACGUCCUGUCCUGCUCCCCGUUCCCGUUCCCAGUCCGGGUUCCAUUGUCCUGACGAGCUGCACAAGUCGCAGUGUCGCAUUCGAGGUCCGACUGUGGCUCCCAUUCGACCUUUUGUCGGCGGCGGUGCUGCCAAUUGUGUAUAAUUGAAAUCGACCCACAACAAUGGCCCAGGCCAGAAGGAAAAGGGAACCCAAAAGGUACCCAAAAAGAGCCCCGAAGAGGUCCAAAAGUAAUUCCAAAAAAAUUCACAAAAAUAAAAGAAGUGGCUGUAAAUCAAACCCAGCCGGUUUGGGUUCGCUUGUUGCCAAAAAAGCAAAGAAGAACACAAGAAUUAAUUAUAAUAAUGACAAAGAACCAGAACUUCGUAACGAUUUCGCGCGCGUUCGUUUACCUAAUUGUGAAUGUGGAUUACAAUUUCGCGUGUGCGAGAAAAAUAUGAAGAAAAAACUUAAGCUUGGACUUGCGGUUUGGAGGACCAGGACCAGUAAAGCCGGUGGAGCUGCUUUUCGACUCGGAUCCCUCGAGUGCGCGGGGCGUGACUUCAAUUAAAGUGAUUUGUGGCCGCCGUUUUUGACAUUCGAGACGUAAAUAGCGGCUCUGAUUCAUGGAGCUGCUAAAAUAUGUAUAUUUGAACAUGGUCCUCGACCCACAGUCACGUAUCCCUACGCGAAACCGCCUUCAACUUGGCUAAUUGAAAGGGUCCCUUCGUUGAGGUAAAAUUCCCAAACAAAAUGCCGUCGGCGGAAUCGAAGAUGUCUGCCAAACAAAUUUCGUGGCUGAGAAGAGGCGCAGAAGAGCGGAGCGGAAAUAAUGGAGCGCCAUCAUGGUGGCAGAAGCAGAACCGGGAGAGGGGAAUGGCAGCGAGGAAGAGAGCCGAGCAGAGAAAAAUUCGGAAUGCCGUUGGAAUGUUUGAGAUUGCGACGGCGACGCCGGCAGCGCUGUCUGCGUAAUGGUUGCCUAGCGACAUCGGCGGCCAUCAUGGAUGUGAAAGAGAGAGCGCCGCUCUCUCCCGCUGCCUCUCACGGCCUCUCCCUCCCACACACGGCAACGGUUCGCUGCGGCCAUGCUGCUCUGCUCUGCUCGCCGCUCUGCUCUGCUUGGCACUCACCUGCGACGGCGGCUGUUGUGAAGUUCUUUGCCUGAAUUCCGGAGCAGCCGAAAAACAGCCAAAAUCCCAAACAGGAUUGCCAUCGAAACGGCCGAAUUCCGACUGAGUUUCUGCGACUGCGUGGUUACCAAAAUAAAAAGAAAAGUAUCAGAAACCAAGACUGAAGGCUGGAGGAACUUUGUCAGGGCUUGAUUAUACAUCGACCCCUGGAGCGAGGACUUAACCCGACGGCAGCUGCUUCAGUUCUUCGCGGGACAGGGACUCGCAGAUGGAUACUCGGGGCACUCGUCUGUGUCUUCGCGUGUGUUUGUGUGUGUUUUUAUAACAUUUGUGGAUUACGCCUAUAAAAACUACACCUCACCGCGAGACCGGCGAAGAUGGUCCCCGGGCACAAACAAAGGAUACUGACACAUAUCCCCUAACGAUACAACCUGUCGCACGGGAGAUUACAGCAUAUACGCACAACGGAGCUGUUUCUUUUAUGGUUUGUUCCGUUCCGUUCCGCUUUUGUUUAACGCUUCCGAGGAUCACAAUCGCACGCAAUCCCAACCACCAGAAAUGUGACACAAUACCCGACCCAAGCGAAACUCCACUCGAAACUUCCAACUGAAAAUAGUGUUUUAUUACUGAAAAUUACUCUGUUUUUAUUUAUUUACUCUUUUUGGUGUGUUUUCAGUGCUCGUCCACUCUCACCCAGUUUCAAUUUUUAUUAGUUUAUUACGAUUAUUAUCGUUUAAUGGGCUGUUCUUUGUUUUUUGUUAUUGUUGCCGCAGCAGUGAGCAGACUAACGUGCGAAGUUGUUUUAUUAUUUGUUUUGAUUAUCAAAAUGGGCCUUUUACAUUUUUCCGGUCGUUGGGCGGCCCACCUGCCACGGUCUUAUAGCCCGCACCAUAUAUAUCCCGUAUAUGUAUGUAUAUACCGUACAUCUCGUAGCCCAUAACCCCGCGGCAAGGGCAGUAAAUCACAGCCCGCUGUGAGUGGCUGCAGAUCUGAGUGCACUCUGAGAAAAACCAUAAGGAAAAUGCACAAAAUGCGUAGGACUACAUAGCUACAAUUAAUAAUAAGUACAGAUCUCUACUUAAACUAUUUAUUUAAAAAGAAAACUCUUUCCUAAAAACAUUAAUUAAAUGGUUUAUAGAAAGGUUUUUAUUAUUUCGGCACGUCGAAGUUUGUAUACCCUUACAGUAUUUAAUUCGAUCAUUAAGAAUUUUUCCAUAAUUUUGUAUAAUCAUGAUAAUAAAAAGUGUAAUAACUAAGCCAAAAAUGCAUUAAUUUUAUUUCGAGGAAUAUUCAUAUUUUGAUAUUUUUCGCAGUGCAUAAGUCAGUUUGAGUGCACUCAGUGCGGCCACUCAUUCGCACUCGCCGUAUGACCCAUAAACAUGAACCAAAGUGUGGCAAAAUGUUUAAUUUGGAAUUUAUGAGCAAUUAAUUUUAAAGCACUCGCCCGACCGUUAACGCCGUGUCCGCCUCGAAAACCCCUCCUCUGGGCCAUAAAACCAACAAAAUUUAACAAGCCAGUGUGCCAAAAAGAAUUGAUUGUUUAGCCAAUCCGCUGAUUGAUCAAUUAUUCAAUUGUUAUCGCCCAGGAUUCGGCAAUCGCACUUGGGCAAGGGCCAUAAAACUACGCGAAAGUCAAUUAUAAAAGGUACUAUUAGCCAGGCGAGAAGCCCGUAAAACUGACAGGUGCUUACGAGGAUAAUUAAAUCGAAAUAAAUAUUUGAGGUGCAGAGAGCAUAAUUAAGCGGAAAUAAAUUAAAUAUACGAGUAUAAUACUCUUUAAAUAAAAAAGAAAUACAAAUAUUGUGAUUUAUAAACUAAGUAAAUACUCUUAGAAUAAGAAAUGGUAAAUGAAAUUAUA